CCAGCAGCCGCGGUAAUUCCAGCUCCAAUAGCGUAUAUUAAAGUUGUUGCAGUUAAAAAGCUCGUAGUUGAAGUUUUGGUGGUUGCCACGACCCUUUUUGGUGCUUUUGUCGACCGCCAUUGUUGAGUUGAUAAUGUCUGGCAUUAGGUUGUAGGUUGUUGGACACUGGAGACUCAUCGUUUACUGUGAGAAAAGUAGAGUGUUCCAAACAGGUGUAUGCCGUUGGAUAUAUUAGCAUGGAAUAAUGUAACAGGAUUCUGGUACUAUUUUGUUGGUUUGCGCACCAGAGUAAUGAUUAACAGGGAUGGUUGGGGGUAUUCGUAUUCCAUUGUCAGAGGUGAAAUUCUUGGAUUUCUGGAAGACGAACUACUGCAAAAGCAUUUACCAA
rnacentral:rRNA from 1 species